CAACUUCAGCAAAAGCCAAAGCAGCCAACAAAGCCACAGCCACCUCGGCUGUGCUGGGCUCUGCCAUUUGGGCAGCUCACCGGCCACUCCCCAGAAGCAGAGCAUUCUGUCCUUUCUCUUUUUAAAUCCACGUCAUCAUCUGAUCAUAAUGGGAAUCAAUCUCAAGUCACCACGCAAAGGCGUAUCCAUGGCAACAUCAAGAGGAAGGACACAGAAAUGAUGCUCCAGUGGCUGCAGCAGGAAAAGGAAACCUGUAGCUUGGACUGGGUUCAGGGGUGCCUUGGAUGCUCCCAGGAAAAGAGGGGAACCCUUGCAGUUCCGGAGGAAUUCGGAGACGCAAUCACUCGACCCCGGGAGCACACCACACUGGCAGGCUGAAGAGCUCAGCACUCUUCAUUUCCGAAAGAAGGUCACAGCUGAUAACUUCAGGGACACCAGAUCCGGUUGCUCAGCUGCCUGAUGCCAGCUUUGGCCAUAAAUUUGCAGAAGAAAAGAAAUGCAAGACCUUAAUUACUUUGAGCCUUAUCACCUACCCCAGACCACGAGCCCCAAGCUAUAAAAACCUUUCCCAGUGGCGGGGCCGGGGCACAGUUCUUGAGACUCUAGCCUGCUGUGUUCCCCCUUUUGCCUAGCAAAGAAUAAAGCUACUUUUUCUCCUUCAAAACUCCGUCUCCGUAUUUCUUUUUGGCAUUGGUGCACAGAAAGCCAAGAUUUUGGCAUCACUGCCAGGCAACCCAGCUUCGUGAAGAUUCGCGGCAUGCUGUGGCCCGCAGGCACCCAGCACGCGCCCGCUCCGCUGCCAUGGUGUCCAAGAGGAAGGUCAGCUCUGCCGAGUGGCGGAGAAGGAGGAGCCCAAGAGGAGACCAGCGAUGCUGUUGGCUAAAACAGCUUCUGCAAAAGUGGAAAUGAAGCCAAAAAGGUGGAAGGAAAGGAUAAAUCUUCAGGCAAAAAUGUGCAAACAAAGGGGAAAAGGGAGCAAAGGGAAAACAGGCUGAAGUGGCUCACCAAGAGACUAAAGAAGACUUACCUGCAGAAAACGGAGAAAAUAAAAAUGAGGAGAGGCCAGCCUCUGAUGAAGCAGGAAAGAAAGAAGCCAAGUCUGAUUAAUAUCAAACACCCGGUCCUAUCAGUGGUCCCUGUCUCCCUUCUUGUACAAUCCAGAGGAAUAUUUUUACCAACUAUUGUGUAAAUGCAAGUUUUUUAGUAGCUCUAGAAACAUUUUUAAAAAGGAGGGAAUCCCACUUCAUCUCAUUUUUUAAGUGUGUGACAGGGAAGAGCUAAAUCGGACUCCACAUUGGAUCUGUUUCUUUGACUUUAACCUUUGAUUUUCGUUGCUUUUGUUAUUAUAAUCAUGCAUAAUGACCUCCCUCAGGAAACCCUGCCCACCUGUGAAUGGCUGCAAGAAAAAAGAAACUAACACAUCACCUCACUGAGGCUGGUCAUUCCAGGAGAUGUUUUGCAAGACUAAUGGCCCUUUUACUUUACUUCCUCACCGCCUCUCCCUCUCUGAUUCUAUAAAAGAAACUGGCAUCCAGACCCAGAUAAGAUGGUUUAUCGGAGACACUAGUCUGCCAUCUUCCCGGUCUGCCGGCUUUCCGAAUAAAGUCGUAUUCCUUACCUCAACACCUCGUCUUCGAUUCAUUGGCCUGUCGUGCGGAGAGCAGAGUGAGCUUGGACUCGGCAACAAAUUUAGCGAGCCAACCAGGAGACUUGCUCCUGUCUAGCCAGCCCCAGUCAGGGAAUAUUGAGGCAAGGCCCUAGCAGCUGCCAGGACCAUUUGUCCGGAGGAUCUUCCCUUCAAAAUUCCCUGAAGCGGCACUGGUUAUCCCAGCACUUGGCAAUUGAAGCAAGGAACCGACAAACUUCAAUUUGGUGCUACGAGGCAAUGGACUCGAUUCGAUUUGCAGGAUAAGUCGCUCUGGCGUGCACGCCAGGAACAUAUUCCCCCCUCAAUCUGGGCUUUUCCUUUACAGGACAAGCCAAUCUGGUUGAGGUACCCUGCUGGAGGGGGGAAUUGUUGUUGGACUCUGCCCGAUUCUGGGAACUGGUUCCCUGGGAACUAGUUCAUUGGUUUUGUAGGGUAAGUCUACCCGAUCUGGGAACUAGUUCGUUGGUUUUGUCUUGGUUUUGUGUGCAUCGAUGCUAGAAUUUGUGCGUUUUGUGUUGGAAUUUGUUGGCGUCUUCUGUGUCUUGGUGUCAUCAAACUUUUAAAAGUGGAAAAUACUCCAUCUAUCCUAAAGGAGAGCCCUUUGGGGAAUAUAUUAUAUAAAUGGGCAAAACAUAGCCGUGAGCCUAUGACUAAGAAAGACAUGAUGUACUAUUGUAAUAGGGUGUGGACCCAAUAUAUCUUAGGAUCAGAAGAACGAUGGCCCCUGAAUGGCUCACUCAAUUAUUAUACAAUCUCGCUGUUAGAAAUGUUCUGCAAAAGAGCAGGGAAAAGAGAUGAGAUUCCAUAUGUAGGAGCAUUUAUGCUAUUGCAUCAGGAGGAAAAGGAGUCAGAGGGCUGCCACCUUAUGGUGCAGCAGUCUGAAAGAAAACCCAAGGGAAAACCUGUUCUACAAGGGAAGAGAAAAAAAUGAGAGUGGGGACAUGUUAUUUCAAAACUUAAACCCCUGUCCAGGCUAUCCAGCUCCCCCAGUGGCCAAGCAGGAUGAACCAGCAGUUGUUCCAACUGCCCCCCCACCAUGCCACCAGCAUAUUCACUGCCUCCUGUUUCCCCUACCCAAGGGGAUCAAACAGAAGUUUCUAUGGUAACACCCGGGACACAGGAACCUGGUUUAGUAUCACCAUCUAAGACCCGACAGGGCACCCAAUUUGGACUGGGAGCCACUUCUGCAGCAGGGCAAUUUCCCUUGUCCCAAUAUCUUGUAAGAGGCCAGGACACUCCCUUGGACUUGAGGCUUGCAAUUCUGAUUUCCCCACAGGAGCCCCGGGUAACAUUGACAGUGGGGACAAGUUGAUAGAUUUUCUAAUAAAUAUGGGUGAUCUUAAGAGGCUUGUAAAUAUUAAACAAAGGGGAAACAAAGUCAACCUAGGAGAAACUUGCCUGUAUCUUGCCUAUAUACAAGUGUCCUAUCUGGUUUUCUCAAAAACCCUUAUUAUCUCUGCCAUCUUUUUAAAAUGCAAAUUUUGAAAAAGAGGGUACAGUAAUUUAGAACUUGACUUGUUUUCCAUAAAUAUUAGUAGAAAGGGUUUAGCCAGCUAGACAAGUGAGCUUGAUUCGUUCCACCUGCCAGAAACCCAACUUUAAUGCAACCUCUUUUGUAAACCGAUGAGUUUUACAUUGCUGUACCUGACUCAGGGCUGAACUUUUGAAAUGAGAACUAUGAUGUCUCUCUGUUUGUUUGUGUGUUUGUAUGUGUUUUUGUCUUUGGAUAACAUUGCUGAGGUUAAUCUGUAAAUGAGCCCUAUUUAAUUGGCUUAAAGAAAAGUAAGUGCUUACAAACCAAACAAUUCUGAAUACAAGAGAAAUUAAGCUAAAUGAGUUUCAGGUUCACGUGAACUGGGAAAUAUUUAGUAUGAAAUUAAUACCUGGUAUUAAUGUUUAAGUUUGUUGAUCUAAUUAAUACAGACAUGUCUUUAGAGCCAUCAGCAUUAUAUAUAGUACUUUCACUGCACCUAGGUUUAAUAAAAGUUAAAUGAAAUCUUGUUACAUCUGUUGCAAAUUUGUCAGCAAGAAAAAUAACUUGAUAUGAUGAAAUUAAAGUAAAUAUAAAUGAAAUAAGAUCUUUUAGGUAAGCUAUAAGAAUAAUUAUGUCUUAAAAAUCAUCUAAAAUAGUUUCUCCAGAUUUUGGUAACUAUUACUUGCCUCUUGGUUGUCAUUGGAAAUUAAGGUUUUUAAGAGUCGGGGACUCUAAUUUAAAUAUAUAAUUAAAGCUACUGAAAAUAAUAAAACAUUUCAAAAUGGUAGAAUGUGUGUUUUCAGUUAAGAAGGUAUGAGGAAUGGAAUUACAUUUUACUGAGAAAGUUUUAUACGGCCAGGAUUAACUAAAUUUCGAUUGAAGUUACCUAAGUAAGUGGAUUUUGUUAAGUAAGCUAAUACAAGACUGGAAUUUGAUCUCUCUCUCUCUCUGUUAGAAGUGCUCCUUUUGAUAACAGAUUAUAUAAGUUUCUGUGCCCUUAGGUGAUCCGUAUUUGUUUUCUUUUAAUCGUUUUGUGACUUUGGUUAAAUGAAUAAGUACUGUUUCUCAGUGACCUAUGAUCCUGUUGUGUUUUAAAACCUUUCUGAUAUUUUUGUGUAUCUUUUUUUUUUUUUUUUUUUUGCGGUACGCGGGCCUCUCACUGUUGUGGCCUCUCCCGUUGCGGAGCGCAGGCUCAGCGGCCAUGGCUCACGGGCCCAGCCGCUCCGCGGCAUGUGGGAUCUCCGCGGACCGGGGCACGAACCCGUGUCCCCUGCAUCGGCAGGCGGACUCUCAACCACUGCACCACCAGGGAAGCCCCCUUUUUGAUAUUUUUAACAAACUUCCUAAAUAUCAAAAUCUGAAUAAAGCUUUUUAGCCUCCAGCUGACUCUGAGAUACUUCAAAAGAACAUCUCUGAGACAUCUCAGAGAGAGAUGUCAAACUAAUUUUAUUUGGUAUGUUAAAUUACUUCAAAAACAUUGUCAAGUGAUUGGAGAUGAACCUUAGGUUAUGGUGUAUGCAUAAAUGUCAUUUUUAUAGAUAUUCCAAAAUUUAUAUGGAAUCCCUAAUAUCUGCUAUGUCCUGAUAUGUUAUCAAUCAUAAUACUAGUUAUUCUAAGAUGUUAUAUCCAAGUUUCCUGCUAAUUACAUUGUACUCAAAUCUUUAACCAUGCUAUUUUAAGUUUUGUCCUGAUGCUUUUACAAAAUGAAGAUCUUCAAGAAGACUGAUAAAAAGGAACUUUUUAAGAAAUAUAAGUUUCUGAUAGCCUUUAGAUAAUAUCACUGGACUGGGUAACAUAUGACAAAACUAAUGGGAAACCUGAUUAUUUCAUCCAGAUCAAUGGGAAUUAAUUACAUGAGACUGAAAACAUGGCAGAUAUGAUUUAUGACUUUGGGAAAUAUACUGACUUUAAUCUUUGUUUUUCAGAAAAACCUUUUCUCUUAUGCGAUGACCUACAACAGGUUGAUAAAGUAUGCCUUUGUAAACAAAGACGAAACAUUUAUCUUUUUCUCUCUACCUGAUCCUGCCAGAAUUUUUUGUCUCCAGCAGGCUGUCCUGUGGACUUGAUAUUAUGUUAAUCAUUGUUUGAAUUUCUUCUUUAUUUCCAAAUUGUUUGUGCUUUGUGUCUCCCUGCAGCACUAUGUCUUUGUCAUUGCUACUAGCUGCAUUACUUAUAUCCUAUUUUAUAAGAUUGUUGUCUCUUGCAGUACCCAGUGUGUAACCAGGCCUCAAAACAAAACUUCUAUGGCUAAACAUCUUAAGAAAAUAAAUCACUUUUAUAACAUAAAAUAAUUGUAAUAAUAUGAUUCUAGGUAUGGGAAGAAGCAACAAGGGAAAAUGUCUCCUGGAUCAUAAUUAGAGGAUCCAGAGAAUCUUUAAUUAUCAAUAGGGCCUAAUCCAAAAAUUAGCACCUGGAGUGGCAUAUCAAGAAUCUUUGCCUGACCUGGGAUGAGCCUCCCAGCACCGUGGGACAAAAUUUGAUCGUGAAAUGUCUCCCAAAUAUUGGUCAGAUUCCCUACCAAGAGGAGAGGAUCAGUCAUCGGCGAUUGCAGCCCUCCAACUUGAGCUGGUGAACGCUGAGGAAACUCAGGAAGAAGAAUACCUGCCAUCUAGCAGCCAUCAGACUGCAGCCACUCCCUAUGGUGAGCCCUGAGGACACUCAGGAUGUGAAAAUACAGGAUAUAGGCUAAGAUAGGUGUGGUGCAUAUCAAAGAAAUGAUUUCAGUGAGCCCAGACUCUUGCAUCUUCCCAUACAUAGGAAAAACGCUAAAUUCCUUAACUGGUUAUUUGGGGAAAGGUGAGGGGAAAAUGGAAUUUGAAAUGUACCAAAAUCGAAGGUAUGUCCCAGUUCACUUUAUUUAUUUAUUUAUGGCUGGGUUGAGUCUUCGUUGCUGUGCUCGGGCUUUCUCUAGUUGUGGUGGGUGGGGGCUACACUUUGUUGCGGUGCGCGGGCUUCUCAUUGCGGUGGCUUCUCUUGUUGCGGAGCACAGGCUCUAGGCGUGUGGGCUUCAGUAGUUGCAGCGCGUGGGCUCAGUAGUUGUGGCUCGCGGGCUCUAGAGCACAGGCUGAGUAGUUGUGGCGCACGGGCUUAGUUGCUCCGCGGCAUGUGGGAUCCUCCCAGACCAGGGCUCGAACCUCUGUCCCCUGCAUUGGCAGGAGGAUUCUUAACCACUGCGCCAGCAGGGAAGCCCAUACACCUGAAACAUUUUAAAUCAACUGUACUUCUAUUGAAGUUUAAAAACAAUGAAGGUACAAUAAAGACAUUUCAAACAACACUGAAGAAGUUUGCUAUCACUAAAUCCUGUAUUAGUAGUCUACUGCUGCAUAACAAAUUAUUACAAACUCAUUGGCUUAAAAGAAAACAUGUAUUAUCUCACAGUUUCUAAUGAGUCUGGGUACAGGUUAGCUUGGUCCUCUGCUCAGGAUCUCACCAGGCCGAAAUCAAGGUGUCAUCCAGGUCUGCAAUCUCAUCUGAGCUCCAGGUCCUCUUCUAAGCUCACUGGUUAUUGGCAAAAUUCAGCUCCUUGCAACCGUAGAACCGAAGACUCAACUACUAGAGUCCACGUGGCCUUCUCCACAAUGUGGCAGUUUGCUUCUUCAUGAUAAACAGGAGAAUCUCUCUGACUUCUAUCUGAACCCUUUUAAAGGGCUCACCUGAUUAGGCCAGAUCCACCCAAAAUAACCUCCCCUUUGAUUAUCUCAAAGCCAAUUGGUUACUUGAGUCUUUAACUCACCAACCUAUCUAAAAUAUCAAACUGGGCCCCUCAUCAUGGCACUCCUUUCCUUUCGUGCUUCACUUGUGUCCAUAGCAUCAUAUGAGUGCUAUGUAAUUUUAUCAUAUAUUUUUAUUAUCUCCCUUACUCCACUAGAAUAUACACUUCUUGAAUUCAUGAAUGUUUAUCUGUUCUACUCAUUACUGUAGAACAAUGCCUGGAUCAGUUGAUACUCCAUUAAUUUAUUCAUUUAAAAAUUAAGUUCAUUAAAUUUAAGAUCAUUUAAUGAAUAAAUUAAUGAAUGACACAGACCAUGGAAAGCUUUGAGGAACUCAAAUGUAGAAAGAUGUGAAGAAAAGUAUGGUAGACGAAUAAAUAUUGUUCAGUCACACGCACACAAAGCCAAAUGGUUAUAGACUUUAAUUACAUCAGCAAAUCCCAUUAACCCAAUAUAUAACAUAAUCACAGAAGUAAAAUUCUAUCAUGUUCAUGAGAUCUGCUCACACCCAGGGGGAAGAGAUUAUAGAGAAUGUGUACACAAGUGGGUAGGGAUCUUGGGAGCCAUCUUAGAAUUCUGUCUACCGCAAAUCCUCAUGAAAGGAACUUCUAAAGGAUGUACUUCAGGGUAGAAGGAAAAUAAUCCCAGAUGGAAGAUCUGAGACACAAGAAGGAAGAGUGAGCAAAGAAAAUACUAAACGUAUGGGUAAAUCCAUACAAAUAUCAACUAUUUAAAAUAACAAAAUAUCUGAUUUGUGAAAUUAAUGAAAUAACAAUAUAAUUAAAAUAUUGGGUUACAAAAGCAUAUGAAUUCAAAGAGAAUGAUUAAUGUUAAAGAACUCUAAGCUCUAUGUAUUGUUUGAAAGAAGAAUAAAGAUAUUGAUUAAAGUUGUUAAAUAAAUAUGCAGGGACUACCCUGGUGGUCCAGUUGUUAAGACCCCAGGCUCCCACAUGUGGCACGGCCAAUAAAAUAAAAUAAAAUAAAUAAAUAUGCAGGUUAAGGGACUUCCCUGGUAGUCCAGUGGUUAAGAAU